UACGUAGGGUGCGAGCGUUGUCCGGAAUUAUUGGGCGUAAAGGGCUCGUAGGCGGUUAUGUAAGACAGAUGUGAAAUGCCCGGGCUUAACCUGGGAACUGCAUUUGUGACUGCAUGGCUAGAGUUUGGCAGAGGGGGGUAGAAUUCCACGUGUAGCAGUGAAAUGCGUAGAUAUCUGGAGGAACACCGGUGGCGAAGGCGGCAUCCUGGACCAAUAUUGACGCUGAGGAGCGAAAGCCAGGGGAGCAAACGGG
rnacentral:rRNA from 1 species